rnacentral:lncRNA from 1 species
CUCACGAAUCACGAUCAGAAGUCCUGAUCUAGAAAAUCAGCACAGUAUGCUAGUACUGCGCUGAUCCUUCUUCGAUGGUCGAUCAGAUGCCUCUUUCUUCUUAUUUUGGACUCUUCCAAAGAUGAGAAGUAGAAGGAGUUUUAGAUGAGACACUCUCAGAAAACUUACAGAUGGAGGAAGGGAAGAGAUGAACCCAGCAACUCUAGAAGAAGACCCUCUUCUUCUUCUCUUUGCUCUAACCCAGACACUUAGUUUUGUGUCUAUUAGAUCUCCACGCACCA